rnacentral:rRNA from 1 species
AGUGAACGCUGGCGGUAGGCCUAACACAUGCAAGUCGAACGGCAGCACAGUAAGAGCUUGCUCUUACGGGUGGCGAGUGGCGGACGGGUGAGGAAUACAUCGGAAUCUACUUUUUCGUGGGGGAUAACGUAGGGAAACUUACGCUAAUACCGCAUACGACCUACGGGUGAAAGCAGGGGAUCUUCGGACCUUGCGCGAUUGAAUUAGCCGAUGUCGGAUUAGCUAGUUGGCGGGGUAAAGGCCCACCAAGGCGACGAUCCGUAGCUGGUCUGAGAGGAUGAUCAGCCACACGGGAAGUGAGACACGGUCCCGACUCCUACGGGAGGCAGCAGUGGGGAAUAUUGGACAAUGGGGGAAAGCCUGAUCCAGCCAUACCGCGUGGGUGAAGAAGGCCUUCGGGUUGUAAAGCCCUUUUGUUGGGAAAGAAAAGCAGCAGGUUAAUACGCCGCUGUUCUGACGGUACCAAAAGAAUAAGCACCGGCUAACUUCGUG